GUGCCAGCCGCCGCGGUAAGACGUAGGUGGCGAACGUUAUCCGGAAUUAUUGGGCGUAAAGGGUGCGUAGGCGGCAUGAUAAGUUAUUGGCGGGAAAUCGAGGCUCAACCUCGUGGAAACUAAUAAUACUGUUUUGCUUGAGUACAGGAGAGGUUAACGGAACUCCAUGUGGAGCGGUAAAAUGUGUAGAUAUAUGGAAGAACAUCAAUAACGGCGAAGGCAGUUAACUAUUCUGUUACUGACGUUGAGGCACGAAAGCGUGGGGAGCAAAACGGAUUAGAAACCCGCGUAGUCC
rnacentral:rRNA from 1 species